rnacentral:tRNA from 2 species
GCGGGCGUAGCUCAAUGGCAGAGCUCCAGCCUUCCAAGCUGGUCACGUGGGUUCGAUUCCCAUCGCCCGCUCCA